rnacentral:rRNA from 1 species
GUGGGGAAUAUUGGACAAUGGGGGGAACCCUGAUCCAGCCAUGCCGCGUGUGUGAAGAAGGCCUUUUGGUUGUAAAGCACUUUAAGCGAGGAGGAGGCUACCGAGAUUAAUACUCUUGGAUAGUGGACGUUACUCGCAGAAUAAGCACCGGCUAACUCUGUGCCAGCAGCCGCGGUAAUACAGAGGGUGCGAGCGUUAAUCGGAUUUACUGGGCGUAAAGCGUGCGUAGGCGGCUUUUUAAGUCGGAUGUGAAAUCCCCUAGCUUAACUUGGGAAUUGCAAUCGAUACUGGGAAGCUAGAGUAUGGGAGAGGGUGGUAGAAUUCCAGGUGUAGCGGUGAAAUGCGUAGAGAUCUGGAGGAAUACCGAUGGCGAAGGCAGCCAUCUGGCCUAAUACUGACGCUGAGGUACGAAAGCAUGGGGAGCAACCAGGAUUAGAUACCCUAGUAGUCC